rnacentral:misc_RNA from 1 species
AAGUCGUAACAAGGUUUCCGUAGGUGAACCUGCGGAAGGAUCAUUAUAAAAUUUUCAUAUAUUUAAAAUUCAUUUAAUAUAUAAAAUUAUAUACAAAAUGUAUUCAAAACCCACACUCCUUAUAACCAUAAAAAAAUUUAUAUUAUUAUUUAUAAUAUAAAAAAAAAACAACUUUCAACAACGGAUCUCUUGGCUCUC